GACGAACGCUGGCGGCGUGCUUAACACAUGCAAGUCGAACGGGUCUGCCCUGUUUUUUGCGGGGUGGGUCAGUGGCGAACGGGUUAGUAACACGUGAGUAACCUGCCCCUCACUUCUGGAUAACCGCUUGAAAGGGUGGCUAAUACGGGGUGUUCUGGCUGUGCCGCAUGGUGUGGCUGGGAAAGAUUCACUUUUGUGGUGGUUUGGUGGGGGAUGGGCUCGCGGCCUAUCAGCUUGUUGGUGGGGUGAUGGCCGGCCAAGGCUUUGACGGGUAGCCGGCCUGAGAGGGUGGGCGGGCACAAUGGGACUGAGAGACGGCCCAGACUUCUGCGGGAGGCAGCAGUGGGGGGUAUUGCACAAUGGGCGGAAGCCUGAUGCAGCGACGUCGCGUGAGGGAUGGAGGCCUUCGGGUUGUGAACCUCUUUCGCCGGUGAAGAAGGUCCUGCUCUUUGUGGUGGGGUUGACGGUAGCCGGGUUAUGAAGCGCCGGCUAACUACGUG
rnacentral:rRNA from 1 species